rnacentral:tRNA from 1 species
AUUUAUUUAAUAUAUAAGUAUAUUUGACUUCCAAUCAAAAAGCCCGUUUAGGAAUAAAU